rnacentral:rRNA from 1 species
GCGACCUCAGCUCACGCGGGGCU